ACAGUGUCUGGUGGGUAGUUUGACUGGGGCGGUCUCCUCCUAAAGAGUAACGGAGGAGCACGAAGGUUGGCUAAUCCUGGUCGGACAUCAGGAGGUUAGUGCAAUGGCAUAAGCCAGCUUGACUGCGAGCGUGACGGCGCGAGCAGGUGCGAAAGCAGGUCAUAGUGAUCCGGUGGUUCUGAAUGGAAGGGCCAUCGCUCAACGGAUAAAAGGUACUCCGGGGAUAACAGGCUGAUACCGCCCAAGAGUUCAUAUCGACGGCGGUGUUUGGCACCUCGAUGUCGGCUCAUCACAUCCUGGGGCUGAAGUAGGUCCCAAGGGUAUGGCUGUUCGCCAUUUAAAGUGGUACGCGAGCUGGGUUUAGAACGUCGUGAGACAGUUCGGUCCCUAUCUGCCGUGGGCGCUGGAGAACUGAGGGGGGCUGCUCCUAGUACGAGAGGACCGGAGUGGACGCAUCACUGGUGUUCGGGUUGUCAUGCCAAUGGCACUGCCCGGUAGCUAAAUGCGGAAGAGAUAAGUGCUGAAAGCAUCUAAGCACGAAACUUGCCCCGAGAUGAGUUCUCCCUGACCCUUUAAGGGUCCUGAAGGAACGUUGAAGACGACGACGUUGAUAGGCCGGGUGUGUAAGCGCAGCGAUGCGUUGAGCUAACCGGUACUAAUGAACCGUGAGG
rnacentral:rRNA from 4 species